rnacentral:rRNA from 1 species
GAUGAACGCUAGCGGCAGGCUUAGCACAUGCAAGUCGAGGGGUAGAUGUCUUUGGACAUUGAGACCGGCGCACGGGUGCGUAACGCGUAUGCAACCUACCUUGAACAGGGGGAUAGCCCAGAGAAAUUUGGAUUAAUACCCCAUGGUAUAUUUAGAUGGCAUCAUCUUAUUAUUAAAGUCACAACGGUUCAAGAUGGGCAUGCGUCCCAUUAGUUAGUUGGUAAGGUAACGGCUUACAAAGACAAUGAUGGGUAGGGGUGCUGAGAGGGAGAUCCCCCACACUGGUACUGAGACACGGACCAGACUCCUACGGGAGGCAGCAGUGAGGAAUAUUGGUCAAUGGGCGCAAGCCUGAACCAGCCAUGCCGCGUGCAGGAUGACGGUCCUAUGGAUUGUAAACUGCUUUUAUACGGGAAGAAACAGAGGUUCGUGAACCUCCUUGACGGUACCGUAAGAAUAAGGAUCGGCUAACUCCGUGCCAGCCGCCGCAGUAAAAC